rnacentral:rRNA from 1 species
AUGGGGGAAUAUUACGGUUCACGCGCGCAAGAGAGCGUGGCGUUUCCUCUCUCCGGGCCGCCGGUAUGCGUCUCCCUGUUCGGGUACUCGGCGCAACGAGGGUGUCUGCGCUCCGUCCACGACGAGGAAAGCGGCGACAGUUUCAUCGAGCUUAGAGACAUCGAGCACGGAGCCAGAACCCCGGCCGAGAGGUUCUACCUGGAGCCGUCCAAGCAGCACGAGGGCCUCCUGCACGUCAGGUGCUGCGACGGCAACAAGUACUGGGUCGCCCGGCAACAGCGCACGCCCGACGGCGGCAGUGCAUGGUUCAUCUCCGCCACCGCGGACGAACCGGAGGAGGACCUGACCAAGCCGUCUUGCACCUUGUUCGACUUCCAAGUCGCUAGUGACAGUAAACGGCCCAGCGAGGGCGGCGGCGGCUACAUCAGGUGCUUUCAUUCUCAACAAAAUAAAUAUGUUGGCUGGGUUUCUGUCUCUGGGGACUUGUGUUUUAUUCCAGGCAACAAAGCCUACCUGCAACUAGGAGUAAGAGAUCUCUUGAGUGUUCAUCGCUUGUCGCAACAGAAGGAAUUGCCCAAAUAUGUCGCUUUUAAAGGCAACAAUGGCAAGUACCUCACAGAAAUGAACCGGAAUUCGUUUUCUGGCAAGACUGGCGGUGAUGAUUGGGUUCAGCAGUUUUCAUCAUCUGAUCUCACAGAUCCAGAUGUGAUCCAUGAGACAUUCACCGACGACUACGGUAUUGUCCGCAUAAGAAACAACACCUCAGGCAGGUUUUGGACAUGUGGCGUCCGUAGUCUCCUCAAUGGGACGAUUGGCACUAUAAAUGACUCCGGCUUUUACUUCGGCGCGUUCAUACCACAUGAUGCCAUUUACAGCGAUGUUAACACAUUGUUCAAGGUGGUCUCAAAGGAUGGGAACAUCAUUGCACUCCAAAACCUCGGCAAUGGAAAAUUCUGUGAGAGUGUGACCGAUCCGACUAUAAUCUAUUCUAAUAUCCUCGUUGCUUCUGGUACUGAUAUCAACUCCUCGGGAGUAAUGCUCCAGAUUGAAGAACCGGUUAUGUCUCGAGAGAUAUAUGAUGUUGAGUACAAUGUCGGUGGAAAGAAGACUAGCACUAACCAAAAUGUCUCCAGGACAGAGGUGCUUUCUAACAAUAGAACACAUGAAACCCACCAAGGCAAACCUACCAUUGAACUAUAUGACAGAACAGAGAGUAAAUGGGAUGCGAAUUUAACUCUCGACGCAGGUAUCAAAGCCCACAUCUCAGCUAGCUUGCCAUUUAUAAUGGAAGGUGGAGCUGAAAGCCAUUUGGACUUUCAUGGAGAGUAUAAUUGGGGAGAAACCAAGAUACAAGAAACGAAGCGCAUGUAUGAAUACUCAUAUCCUGUGCCUCCGAUGACUAAAGUGUUAUGUAGCAUAUUCACAAGAGAAGAUGUUGUUGAUGUUCCCUUCUCAUACAAGCAGAAGGAUGUUAUGUACAGUGGCAACAUAGUUAUCCGUCAGUUACAUGAUGGUAUCUAUCAUGGUACCAAGUCCUCUGAUAUCGACAUUGACAUCACUGAAGAAAGUAUCGCAUAA